GGGGGAAGUGCUCAGUGGUAGAGCAUGUGCUUAACGUGCACGAGGUCCUGGCUUCAAUCUCCAGUACUGCCA
rnacentral:tRNA from 1 species